GACGAACGCUGGCGGCGUGCUUAACACAUGCAAGUCGAACGCUGAAGCACCAGCUUGCUGGUGUGGAUGAGUGGCGAACGGGUGAGUAAUACGUGAGUAACCUGCCCUUGACUCUGGGAUAAGCCCGGGAAACUGGGUCUAAUACUGGAUGCUACAUGUCACCGCAUGGUGGUGUGUGGAAAGGGUUUACUGGUCUUGGAUGGGCUCACGGCCUAUCAGCUUGUUGGUGAGGUAAUGGCUCACCAAGGCGACGACGGGUAGCCGGCCUGAGAGGGUGACCGGCCACACUGGGACUGAGACACGGCCCAGACUCCUACGGGAGGCAGCAGUGGGGAAGAUUGCACAAUGGGCGAAAGCCUGAUGCAGCGACGCCGCGGGAGGGAUGACGGCCUUCGGGUUGUAAACCUCUUUCAGCAGGGAAGAAGCCACAAGUGACGGUACCUGCAGAAGAAGCGCCGGCUAACUACGUG
rnacentral:rRNA from 1 species